rnacentral:rRNA from 1 species
UACGUAGGGGGCAAGCGUUGUCCGGAUUUAUUGGGCGUAAAGCGCGCGCAGGCGGCGCUUUAAGUUGGGGGUUAAAGGCAGUGGCUCAACCAUUGUACGCCUCCAAAACUGGAGCGCUUGAGUGCAGGAGAGGAAAGCGGAAUUCCCGGUGUAGCGGUGGAAUGCGUAGAGAUCGGGAGGAACACCAGUGGCGAAGGCGGCUUUCUGGCCUGUAACUGACGCUGAGGCGCGAAAGCGUGGGGAGCAAACA